rnacentral:rRNA from 1 species
AACGAACGCUGGCGGCAGGCUUAACACAUGCAAGUCGAACGCCCCGCAAGGGGAGUGGCAGACGGGUGAGUAACGCGUGGGAAUCUACCGUACCCUACGGAACAACAGUUGGAAACGACUGCUAAUACCGUAUACGCCCUACGGGGAAAGAUUUAUCGGGGUAUGAUGAGCCCGCGUUGGAUUAGCUAGUUGGUGGGGUAAAGGCCUACCAAGGCGAUGAACCAUAGCUGGUCUGAGAGGAUGAUCAGCCACAUUGGGACUGAGACACGGCCCAAACUCCUACGGGAGGCAGCAGUGGGGAAUAUUGGACAAUGGGCGCAAGCCUGAUCCAGCCAUGCCGCGUGAGUGAUGAAGGUCUUAGGAUUGUAAAGCUCUUUCACCGAUGAAGAUAAUGACGGUAGUCGGAGAAGAAGCCCCGGCUAACUUCGUGCCAGCUGCCGCAGUAA